UUGAACGUCAUAAAUAAACAAAAAUAUAUUGAUAUUCAUUUCGGAGAGUAGAGAAGGGGAAUAAUGUAGUGGUUAGGGUAAUAAUGUUAAAUAAAAUGGUAUGAUUUUGUUGAGUGUGUAUACAACCGAAAUUAAAGGUAUCGCUCGAGUUCUAAUCGGAACAACAUUAGAGAACAAGAGAAACACGAAAAAUUGAACGAAGGCUUACUUCGGAUUGAAGCGAGCCCAAUACAGAAAAACGAAUUGAAGCCACACGAUUCUCGUGUGGAGCUCGGAAGAUGAUGAACGCAACACGAGUGACUUGCGUAAUGUGAUUAUAUAUGUAGUAGUGAAACUUCGGAGAUAAAGCUCCAAGAUUGCACCUACUUGACUUGGCGGAGCGAAAUCGGGAUCGUUAGCUUAAGUUGAAGCGGGACAAUGCAUUCUGGUUGUUAUGAAAAUUUGCAAAUGGAAGCAUAACUGGACGCUGAUUGCGGAUUUAUUUACGGAAGUAUCAUCAAUUUGUUCGAAUAUUUUCAAAGAUAGAUUAUAAUAGACAGAACCGUCAUUCGACUGGAGAGCAGCAUGAAAUCACCGCCAUCGUUGACAUCCCACAUGGGUGUUUUAUGUAUUUUGGGCAGAGCGUUACGCGUAUAUAAUUUGGCCACCUCCAUUUGAUUUUGCCGUAGGGUGAUCAAAGUAAU